UGGGCUCAAGGGUCCUUUGGUAAAGUCUAGCAUGCAUAAAGCCUGGAUCCCAAUCCCAGCACGGCAAAAAACAGAAGUAGUUGUACAUGAUUGUCAUCCCAGCAUUCUGGAGGUAGAGGCAAAAGGAGCAGGAGCUCAAGGUUACACACUUAAGUUACUUAGUUACAUAGCAAGUUCAAGGUUACACAGUUACUUAGUGAUGUAGCAAGUUCAAGACUAACCUGAGCAGCAAAAUACUUUCAGAAAGAAAGGAAGAAAGGAGGGUAUCGGGGAGUCACUGAACACCAGUGAGCUGAAGGCAGGGUAAGACAUAGAUUCCUUUACAGGGUGGGUGGCUGGGACUGUGCACACAAAGGUGGACAGCCCUGACAGGAACCACCUCUUCCCAGACUCCGUUCCAUCUGCAGCUGGACUGGGCUAGUCCCCUGGAGACCAUACUGGAUGUGCUGGUGUCCCUGGUACGGGCACAUGCCUGGGAGGACAUUGCUCUAGUACUCUGCCGUGUCCGGGACCCUGGCGGCCUGGUGACACUCUGGACUAACCAUGCUAGCCAGGCUCCAAAGUUUGUGCUGGACCUGAGCCGGCUGGACAGCAGGAAUGACAGCCUUCGGGCUGGACUGGCCCUGUUGGGGGCGCUGGAAGGAGGGGGAACCCCAGUGCCUGCAGCAGUCCUCCUAGGCUGCAGCACUGCCCGUGCACAUGAGGUCCUAGAGGCUGCACCACCGGGUCCCCAGUGGUUGCUGGGCACACCAUUGCCCGCUGAGGCACUGCCCACGAC
rnacentral:lncRNA from 1 species